rnacentral:rRNA from 1 species
AUCGGUAGCUGGUCUGAGAGGACGACCAGCCACACUGGGACUGAGACACGGCCCAGACUCCUACGGGAGGCAGCAGUGGGGAAUAUUGGACAAUGGGCGCAAGCCUGAUCCAGCAAUGCCGCGUGGGUGAAGAAGGUCUUCGGAUCGUAAAGCCCUUUCGGCGGGGACGAUGAUGACGGUACCCGCAGAAGAAGCCCCGGCUAACUUCGUGCCAGCAGCCGCGGUAAUACGAAGGGGGCUAGCGUUACUCGGAAUUACUGGGCGUAAAGGGCGCGUAGGCGGCGCACCAAGUUAGGCGUGAAAGCCCUGGGCUCAACCUGGGGACUGCGCUUAAGACUGGUGUGCUUGAGGAUGGAAGAGGCUCGUGGAAUUCCCAGUGUAGAGGUGAAAUUCGUAGAUAUUGGGAAGAACACCGGUGGCGAAGGCGGCGAGCUGGUCCAUUACUGACGCUGAGGCGCGAUAGCGUGGGGAGCAAA